rnacentral:rRNA from 1 species
GAUGAACGCUGGCGGCGUGCCUAAUACAUGCAAGUCGAACGAACAGACGCUGAGCUUGCUGCUUGCACGAUAGCGGCGCACGGGUGUGAAACAUGUGUAUAACGCACUUGAAUUUCUGGUAUAACUUCGGGAAACCGGCGCUAAUCCCGUAUAAUCUAUUGAUCCGCAUGGUUCGAUAGUGAAUGUCGGUUUUGGGGGCUCUUAUAGAUGGUUCCGCGCCGCAUUGGGUAGUAGGUAAGGUAACGGCUUACCAAGGCGACGAUGCGUAGCCGACGUGUGAGGGUGAUCGGCCGCCCUGGAGGGGGGACGCGGACCUGACUCCUACGAUAGGGCGCAGUAGGCAAUGGGCGGCAAUGGGCGGGAGCAUUGCGGAGCAACGCCGCGUGUGUGAUGACAGUGUUCGGUGCGUAAAACUGUGUUAUGAGGGAAAAACAAAUGUGUAAGUAACUAUGGCCGUAUUGACGGUACCGGAUCAGAAAGCCACGGCUAACUACGUG